rnacentral:rRNA from 1 species
AACGAACGCUGGCGGCAGGCUUAACACAUGCAAGUCGAACGGACGUAGCAAUACGUCAGUGGCAGACGGGUGAGUAACACGUGGGAAUAUCCCUCUCAGUUCGGAAUAACUCAGGGAAACUUGAGCUAAUACCGGAUACGUCCUUCGGGAGAAAGAUUUAUCGCUGAGAGAUUAGCCCGCGUCUGAUUAGCUAGUUGGUGAGGUAAUGGCUCACCAAGGCGACGAUCAGUAGCUGGUCUGAGAGGAUGAUCAGCCACACUGGGACUGAGACACGGCCCAGACUCCUACGGGAGGCAGCAGUGGGGAAUAUUGGACAAUGGGGGCAACCCUGAUCCAGCCAUGCCGCGUGAGCGAUGAAGGCCUUAGGGUUGUAAAGCUCUUUUGCCAGGGAAGAUAAUGACUGUACCUGGAGAAUAAGCCCCGGCUAACUUCGUGCCAGCAGCCGCAGUAA